rnacentral:lncRNA from 1 species
UUGCCGCAGGCCAACACCACCCCAUCCAUGUCCCUCCCAUUGCCACCAAUCCGCUCGGUCAUAGCCAUCCCCGCCCUUCCGUUGUCCAUCCACCAUACCCUCAACACACACACACACACACAUACACACAGAGGACAAAGGUGAAGGGUGGGGGGCUUUGGGUGUAGAGCGGGGCUGGACGUGGUGACAGGGUGGCUAUGGCAAGGCUAGUGAGUUGCAUGGGAGGCAUGGGAAGAGUCUGGGAAGGUUGCAGGGUGGAGUGGGUGGAUAUGGCGAUGGAAACAUUGGCGAUAGGUGGUGGGUUGUGGUGGACUCUUAGGGUGGUUAGGGUUUGUAGUUUCAUGGUGG